ACCUCAGUGGGGUAGUGGUAGCACGCGUCCCCGGUAUGGAUGAAACGCGGGUCGGCUCCCGUCUGAGGUA